AGUUGUUCUAGGGUGGAACCCAGACCCCGGCAAUUGCAAUAGCUUCCCAGGUGAUUCCAGUGAACAGGUGGGCGAGAUAACAACCGCAGGCUGGGGAGUUGAUCUGAGAAUGGGCUUACAAAUACAGCCCCUGGUUAUGAUCAGGACAGGUCCUAAGCAUGUGACGUCUAGACGUCUCAAAAGACUUCAAGUUCUGGUUCUUCCAAUCCCAACAUGCAAUGUUCAAGAUUUUGAGUAUGACUUUGCUAUUGAUUUUUCAAAAUGUCUUCUGUCUCAUCUUGGCCCCCGAAGCAGCCAGUUUAGAAGCUUUGGAUCUAGUAAUUGUCAUGAACACAAAGAAUCACAAACAGCCAAGUUAUUUUCCACAUCUAUCCGAUGGAAGAGUAUCCUGAUUGUAAUCAAGACCAGAAGUUUAGUCCAGGUUGUUAGCUUGUGCUUCCAAAUCUCUGAUUUCAACUGGCCCCCAGAAUCUCUGGUUAACUGAAGUCUAACAAAAGGAAAUGAGUCUCUGUCACCGAGCUGUUAAAAGGUCAACAAGAGUGACAGCUUCACCAUCUCAAUUGCAGAUUUUCAGCUAAAAGCCAGCUGAUGUCAAGUUGAAGUCAAAACUGAGACCUCAUCAUAAUAAACAGAUUGUCAAAACAGCAAAGAAUUGCACAGCUUAGAAUAGGAAACACAGGAGGCUGGCUUUGUGUCAAUUUGAGGGCAUGACAUUGAGCAAGGGGGCCCUCAAAAACCCAACCUACUGCUUUGUCAUUCUAACGCUACUCUUUUGAUCUUGAAAGUUUGUUGGUCUUCCAUACAUAACUCCAGAGAGAGAGGAAAGAGACACUAUGUUUACUGUCCAUGGCUUUCAAUUACCUUAUUAAUUUUGAUAUCUGUGUGACUAUAGAAGUAGUAGAAACAACUCGAAAGAAGUAGCAGAAACUUGGCAUUAGAUGAUCGCGUAUCAACAAAUAGAAAAUGAUGUUGAUGGUGGAAAUGCAAACUAAGGAUGAAAUCAGUUUAUUUGCAAUUAUUCUUAAUUAAAACUAUGCCUUGCAAGUUAGAUCUCCAGGACAGACAUAUAAAUUUAGAAAGAAACUGAAAAAAAUUAUAAAGUGAAUGGAAGACAUUAUUGGGAAGGGGCUUUU
rnacentral:lncRNA from 1 species